GGAGGAGGGCCAUGUGACGGCCAGACCGGCAGACAUAGCCAGGAUAUGCGGUACAAGGGAUUCGAGGCAAAUUGAGGAAGGAGCUGGAGCAGGUGGUGGAUUAAGGAAAGAGCUGGAGCAGAGACGGAUUAGAGCUGCUUAAGUGCAGAUUUUUAGACUAGCCUGCUUGAGUACAUGUUCUUAGAUUGCAUAUGGAAGGGAACUUACGUGCAUGUUGUUUGGAUUGCAGGAUGGAAGGGAACUUAAGUGCAUGUUUUCGGAUUGUACAUGAACUAAGUUCCUGCUGAAAAAUGGUGACUGCAUUUAGAGCUGGCAUUGGUGCUUGGUCAGACAUGGUGUCUUUGUAACUACACUAAGUUCCCUGGUUCUUGCUUAAAAAUGUUUACAAGAUAACAUUUCUAAACAUGAUCUAGAAGCCCUCAAACCAGAUCAAGCUCGGUACAUUGGAAUAAAAAGAAUGACAAGGCAGUUAGAAGUUCAGAAUUCUAUAUAGGAUAUAUAUACUUGGUUGUACCAUAUUUAGCUGAACUAAAGUAGAUGCUCUAACUGUGUUCACAUGAUUUUGAACAGGCCCAUGGAGAGAAGCCCUAAUGUACACCCAAGGUUCAGGGAGGUGAUCCAGGUUUCCAAGAAGGUUAGAAGGAGGGUGAGUGGAUUAGUCGCCGAUUAGUGCCUUCACUGUUGUUGAAUAAACUGGCUUCAGCUCUGAUGCAUGUGAACUGUGAGGUGUUUUUGGUAUGGGAAUGAUGAGGUUUUGAUGGUCUAUACCUGAUUGCAAGGGUUGGGUAUGAAUUAAAUUUGCGUCCAAACUUGGCAAUUAUCUUCUAUGAAUUUAGGCAUUGUUCACAUGUCCUUUGAGUCAAACAGAAAUAUGCUUCAGAAAUGCUCCAAUUUGCUGCUUUUCACAUUUAGAGAAGGUUGUUUAUUUCGUAUUCAUCAGGUUAUGCUAAAGCAGAAGGCAUUGUGCUAACAUUUUUUAAGCCUUACUUGAUUUUGAUAUGUGGUUAGCCGUUUGCCCUUGCACCAAAAACAAACACUAUUCCUAUGUCUUACUUAGAAGCAAAGGUGCAUUAAUUAUUAACUGGUUGAUAUAUGUUCCAUGGUGGGUGGCAUAGAAAACAAAGCUUCUUUCUAAGACAUGAUGUUCUGUUACUAGCAAAAAAGUGUUAGAAUUUAUAAGUACUUAUUCAAAGAAAAUAAAAACUGACUGGAGAACUGUUUGCUUCUACCAUUCCUUUCAAGUUAAGGCAAAAAUCAUAUUGGCAUGUAGCUUGUGCUCCUGCAGAGUUCUUUUUGUUUUGAUUUUCUGUAAUGUUAAAGGCAUAUCGAAUAAUGAAAUUGCAAUAGUUAUGAUCCCUAGGCCCGACAAAAAACUGACGAGAGUAUUAGGUGGUGGCAGGUAUCAGGCUACAAUAGCUGAAUUGCAAG